rnacentral:rRNA from 1 species
UACGGGGGGGGCAAGCGUUGUUCGGAAUUACUGGGCGUAAAGGGCUCGUAGGCGGCCAACUAAGUCGGACGUGAAAUCCCUCAGCUUAACUGGGGAACUGCGUCUGAUACUGGAUGGCUUGGAUUCGGGAGAGGGAUGCGGAAUUCCAGGUGUAGCGGUGAAAUGCGUAGAUAUCUGGAGGAACACCGGUGGCGAAGGCGGCAUCCUGGACCGAUAUUGACGCUGAGGAACGAAAGCCAGGGGAGCAAACGGG